rnacentral:rRNA from 1 species
GACGAACGCUGGCGGCGUGCUUAACACAUGCAAGUCGAACGGAAAGGCCUGCUUUCCCUUGUGGAUUGCGGGUACACGAGUGGCGAACGGGUGAGUAACACGUGAGUGAUCUGCCCCCAACUUGGGGAUAAGCCUGGGAAACUGGGUCUAAUUCGCGAUCGGACUGCAGGGUGGUGCCUGUGGUGGACAACGAUGUUCUAGUGGUUGGGGAUGAGCGGGCGGCCUGUCAGCUUGGGGGUGGGGUAAUGGCCUACCAAGGCGGCGACGGGUAGCCGGCCUGGGAGGGCGGGCCGGCACAGGUGGACUGAGACACGGCCCAGACGCCAACGGCAAGCAGCAUUCGGGAGUCAUGAGCAAGGGGCGGUAGCCUGAUGGCGCGACGCCGCGGGAGGGACGACGGGUUUCGGGUUGUAGCCUCCGUGCUACCGCGCGGUAGCCACCGGGAUGGAAGGGUAGUGACGGUAGUGGCAGAAGAAGCACCGGCUAACUACGUG